rnacentral:lncRNA from 1 species
AAUUGAUAGGUAAAUUCUGCACUACUGACUGGGAGGUAAAAUCUCCUGCGGGGAACAAAUCACGCUGGUUUAAAAUUGUGUCAGAACAUUUGGAAGAGCACCCUGAAACUCUAAAACAUGACUUCCGGAGAAAUUCAGGCCAAUAUGAGCAGGGAGAUUUUAGGGACUCAGGAUAUCUUGUCUGAGGAGAAACAUGAUGUGAAUUUCUUUUAGGAUCAAGUUCAUAUACGGUUGUUAGCAAUCUUCUCAUCUUCAACGUUUUGUCCACCCCACUUCUUCAUUCGCUCCGAAGAUUGUU